UACGGAGGGUGCAAGCGUUAAUCGGAAUUACUGGGCGUAAAGCGCACGCAGGUGGCUGAGUCAGUCGAUUGUGAAAGCCCUGGGCUUAACCUGGGAAUUGCGUCCGAAACUAUGGAGCUGGAGUGUGGCAGAGGGAGGUGGAAUUCCACGUGUAGCGGUGAAAUGCGUAGAGAUGUGGAGGAACACCGAUGGCGAAGGCAGCCUCCUGGGCCAACACUGACGCUCAUGCACGAAAGCGUGGGGAGCAAACAGG
rnacentral:rRNA from 1 species